AGCAGUAGCCACGGUAAUACAGAGGGUGCAAGCGUUAAUCGGAAUUACUGGGCGUAAAGCGCGCGUAGGUGGUUUGUUAAGUUGGAUGUGAAAGCCCCGGGCUCAACCUGGGAACUGCAUCCAAAACUGGCAAGCUAGAGUACGGUAGAGGGUGGUGGAAUUUCCUGUGUAGCGGUGAAAUGCGUAGAUAUAGGAAGGAACACCAGUGGCGAAGGCGACCACCUGGACUGAUACUGACACUGAGGUGCGAAAGCGUGGGGAGCAAACAGGAUUAGAUACCCCUGUAGUCCCUGUCUCUUAUAC
rnacentral:rRNA from 1 species